UUAUCUUUAUGAGCAUAUAUCACAAAGAAACCCAAUACCCUUUUCCAUUUCUUUUCCCCCCUAAUUCUUGGCUACCACUUCUCCAUCACAAAAAGACUCGUUCAAACCCAAAAGCUAUUCUCUCUUCUUCUUCUUCUUCCUACCCUUUUCUUAUUCAUCCCUUCUGAUCUCAUUCCUUCAUAUUCCACAACUACCCACAAAGCCUACACCCAAAAAGGCACCAUCUUUGACACCAAAUGGUGGCUCAUGUCCAUGAUCAUCAUCAACCCACAUCACAUUUCUUCAUGAAGAUCAUGUUGU
rnacentral:lncRNA from 1 species